ensembl:lncRNA
GAGACACGCGCCCGGGACUGCGCAUGCGCAGGCGCGCGGCGGCGCUUCCUGGGAACUCGGGCUCGGCGGAACCCGGGCAGCGGUGACUCAGCGCCUGAGGCGAGGAGGGCAGCGGGGUUCCCUCCCCGCGAAGCCGAAGAGCUUCACUUCUCGGCCCUCGCCGCCCCCAAAGUUGAGGCCGCCCCGGGGCCGGGCUACGGUGCAAGCUCGCCGCCUCAGCCGGCUCCGUGCGCUGCCCGAUCGUUGGAAGCCCUGAGGAGCUCGGAAGUUUUUCAUUUGGGGCGGGGAAAGGUCUUGAACUUGCUCAGAGUUGUGGGGUGAAGCCACAGCUUUCUGGAGGCAUUUGGGGAACGUGAAGAACGUCAGAGACAAAUUGGUGCUGGCAGCUACUGUGUUGUGGUUUUUCACCUGCGGUCAGUCCUCAGAUGUAGAAGCUAAGGCCUUGGAAAGGAGAGCCUGGCUCAGGGUCACAGAGCCAGCGAGGAGGAGACAUAAGACUCAAAUCGAGGUCUCUUGAUCCCCAGGCCUGUUCCUAUGUUCUGCACCUUGGAUUUCAGGGGUCCCUGAAAACAGAUGGCACAUAUCAGCUGGGUAAUUUGACACAAGGUAUAGGGAAACAGCUAUGGAGUGUGAAAUAUUCUGGGGCUAGUCACAGUGGGAUUGUAACCACCUCUGCGCCCAGAGGUAAGGAGGCUGUGUGGAAGGUCAUUUUCCUAGAGCUGAGACUUUGUGUCAAGGGGCUCAGGAAGGGACCUGGGGAAAUAAAAGCCUUGUCUUCAAUUUCUCCCUCCCUUAAUCUCGCUCCCCGUGGACCAAACCCAGUGAGAAGUCAAGGGGCAAGAGAGUCUUGACUAGUCCAUUCUAGGGCACUGCACAGAGUGGAAAAGGGUGUAGAGUGUAUCUGGGAGGUGGGAGGGGCAAAUGAAAGAUAGCCAGCAUAACAUGCAAUCCUGCUUUUAUCAGUAUAACAAUAGUUUGCAUUUCUGGAGCACUUAUUCUAUGCCAAGUCUGUUCACUGUCUCAUUGCAUCAUCCUGUGAGCCCAUUUUCUCCAUCUGACAGAUAAGGAAACUGACUAGUGAAUCAGCAAGAGGAAUGGAGGUGUGGACAACUGAGCUGACGUUUGCCUCUCUGGGAUCUUGUGUAUGAUAGUUCCUCUGUGGAUGUUUGUGGGGUGAAAGAAUGAAAGAGGAGCAUAUAAGAAGCCGGAUUCUUUGGAGAAUUGCCCUGGAGAUCCAUAACUGUGCCUCAUUUCUGCAGUACAGGGGGAUGCCUGUCAGUGUCUCCCCUGCCGCUUGGUGAUAAGCCAGAUUAUUCAGGUUAAAAGAGUAGGUAUAUAGAUCUGAAAAAACAAAAAAACCUUGUACAUUUUGCCUUUCCUAUAGAGGAUAGUGUUGGAGUUAAAAGCAUUUCUUUUUCUGCAGCCAUCUUUCCCUGUCCCCUGAUUUCUGGUUCCCCCCCCAGUCUGGGCAGGAGCCCAGGUGCUGCCUCUCAUCCCUGCUUAACUCCUACACUCCACCCACAAGCUCGAUUCUGCUAAUUGCAUCGCUGUGCCACUCCUGGAACACAGUGUUGUUGGGGGACAAACCAAAGACCAAUGUGAUGGGGAGUAUUUUUCCAGCACCCGUAAAGUGGCCUGCCGUGGAGCAGAACCUCAACUCAGAAGCUUUGGGUUCUUUCCUCCAGGCACCUCUUCCUUCACCACCACCACCACCCACUUCAGAAUCCUCUUUUAUUGGCCUCUUCCUUCCUCAAGGGUCCCCCAAAGUCUUUCAUUUGUUGUUCAUCGUCCCAGCACCUCAGAUGUGGAGAUGGAACCUGACAUUCAGUGAUCACGUGCCAUGUGCCUGAUGCUGCCAGAUGCUCCUAGCCACGAUCGCAUUUCAUUUCUUCGUGAUCCACUCAGUAGAAAGUACCAGGGAGGGACCUUGCAGAAAAGCAAGAUUCUAGUUAGAUACAUCAGGAAUACACCUUCAGACACGGAAGUGCAUGCAGAACACCAGCUGAGACCAGACAGGAGUACCUAUUCCGCAGAAAAGAAUAUAUAGAACCAUGCAAAACUCAGUAGGAUGA